rnacentral:rRNA from 1 species
UACGUAGGGGGCUAGCGUUGUCCGGAUUUAUUGGGCGUAAAGAGCGCGUAGGCGGCCAUGUAGGUCAGGUGUGAAAACUCGAGGCUUAACCUCGAGAUGUCAUCGGAAACCAUUUGGCUAGAGUCCGGAAGAGGAGAGUGGAAUUCCUGGUGUAGCGGUGAAAUGCGCAGAUAUCAGGAAGAACACCAAUGGCGAAAGCAGCUCUCUGGGACGGUACUGACGCUGAGACGCGAAAGCGUGGGGAGCGAACAGG